GACGAACGCUGGCGGCGUGCUUAACACAUGCAAGUCGAACGGAAAGGCCCUGCUUUUGUGGGGUGCUCGAGUGGCGAACGGGUGAGUAACACGUGAGUAACCUGCUCUUGACUUUGGGAUAACUUCAGGAAACUGGGGCUAAUACCGGAUAGGAGCUCCUGCUGGAUGGUGGGGGUUGGAAAGUUUCGGCGGUUGGGGAUGGACUCGCGGCUUAUCAGCUUGUUGGUGGGGUAGUGGCUUACCAAGGCUUUGACGGGUAGCCGGCCUGAGAGGGUGACCGGCCACAUUGGGACUGAGAUACGGCCCAGACUCCUACGGGAGGCAGCAGUGGGGAAUAUUGCACAAUGGGCGGAAGCCUGAUGCAGCAACGCCGCGUGCGGGAUGACGGCCUUCGGGUUGUAAACCGCUUUCGCCUGUGACGAAGCGUGAGUGACGGUAAUGGGUAAAGAAGCACCGGCUAACUACGUG
rnacentral:rRNA from 1 species